rnacentral:rRNA from 1 species
UACAGAGGGUGCAAGCGUUAAUCGGAAUUAUUGGGCGUAAAGCGCACGUAGGUGGUUAUGUAAGUCAGAUGUGAAAUCCCUGGGCUCAACCUGGGAACUGCAUUUGAAACUGUGUAACUAGAGUAUGGGAGAGGGAAGUGGAAUUUCCGGUGUAGCGGUGAAAUGCGUAGAUAUCGGAAGGAACACCAGUGGCGAAGGCGACUUCCUGGCCUAAUACUGACACUGAGGAGCGAAAGCGUGGGUAG